CAAAGCGCAGUGAUGGAAAAGAUGAUCGUCUGAUCGUUUUGCAGAGAGCCGGCGGAAGGUGCAAGCCGGUAAACAGGGCGAUGAUUUCCGCUUCCGGAGCGUUUAGCGAUGAGCUAAGGGGUGGCGCCCUGUAACGCGCCAAGAAAGAGGCAGAAAAUUUUUCUGCAAUUUGGGUGGCAACACGGAAAAGUUCCUUUCGUCCCAUGG
rnacentral:ncRNA from 1 species